rnacentral:rRNA from 1 species
UGAAUACGAGACGCUAAGGCGUCGAAGUAGUGUAUGUCAUACUUCCAAGAAAAGCUUGCACUGUCAUAGAUAAAAAACGCCUGUACCAUAACCGACACAGGUGGGUAGGUAGAGUAUACUAAGGGGCGCGAGAUAACUCUCUCUAAGGAACUCGGCAAAAUAACUCCGUAACUUCGGGAGAAGGAGUGCCUUAUUCGUAAGGUUGCAAUAACAAGAUCCAAGCAACUGUUUAUCAAAAACACAGGUCUCCGCUAAGUCGUAAGACGAUGUAUGGGGGCUGACGCCUGCCCAGUGCCAGAAGGUUAAAGAAGUUGGUUAGCAAUUGCGAAGCUGAUAACUGAAGCCCUGGUGAACGGCGGCCGUAACAAUAACGGUCCUAAGGUAGCGAAAUUCCUUGUCGGGUAAGUUCCGACCCGCACGAAAGGCGUAAUGAUUUGGAUACUGUCUCGGAGAGGGGCUCGGUGAAAUAGACUUGUCUGUGAAGAUGCGGACUACCUGCACCAGGACAGAAAGACCCUAUGAAGCUUUACUGUAACUUGAAAUUGAAAUUGGACUUUAUUCGCGCAGUAUAGGUGGGAGGCGUUGAUUAUAAUCUUGUGGGAUUAUUGGAGCCAUCAGUGAGAUACCACUCUUGUAAUGUUAGAUUUCUAACUUUGAAUCAUUAUCUGGUCAAAGAACAGUUUCAGGCGGGCAGUUUGACUGGGGCGGUAGCCUCCUAAACGGUAACGGAGGCGUACAAAGGUUUCCUCUGAACGGUUAGAAAUCGUAUCUAGAGUGUAAAGGCAUAAGGAAGCUUGACUGUGAGACCUACAAGUCGAGCAGGGACGAAAGUCGGUCUUAGUGAUCUGACGGUACUGAGUGGAAAGGCCGUCACUCAACGGAUAAAAGUUACUCUAAGGAUAACAGGCUGAUCUCCCCCAAGAGUUCACAUCGACGGGGAGGUUUGGCACCUCGAUGUCGGCUCAUCGCAUCCUGGGGCGGUAGUACGUCCCAAGGGUUGGGCUGUUCGCCCAUGAAAGCGGUACGCGAGCUGGGUUCAGAACGUCGUGAGACAGUUCGGUCCAUAUCCGGUGUAGGCGUUAGAAUAUUGAGAGGAGCCUUCUUUAGUACGAGAGGACCGAGAAGGACAUACCUCUGGUGUACCAGUUAUCGUGCCAACGGUAAACGCUGGGUAGCUAUGUAUGGAGUGGAUAACCACUGGAAGCAUCUAAGUGGGAAGCCCACCUCAAGAUAAGUAUUCUCAC